UCUUCUCUGCGAUCGCAGCCCGGCAUCCCCUCCCGCUCCCCUUGCUUUUCCUCCUCCUCCUGCCAUGAUCGCCGAUGUCUGUUACAUCCCCCUGCACGACGAGGACGGCCACUUCAUUGCCAGAGAACGGCGGGUAAUCGGGGUCGCUGAUGGGAUCGGCUGGUGGAAAAAAAACAAAGGGAUCGACGCCGGGAUUUUCGCUAAGCAGCUCAUGAAGCAUUCCAAAGCACUGGUGGAGAGAUGGCCCUGCGGCCUCUCCGACCCGGCGGAGAUCAUCAACGUGGCCUUGUCCAUGACCACCGCCAAGGGGACUUCCACCGCGUGCGUCGUUUCCUUGAAAGGGAAGGUAAUGAGACUUACCUUCCUCACAAAUCAUGCGACUUCCGACCGAACCCUCUAACAUCCGCGGUUGACCUCCCGCUCCUCAGUGGCUACAUGCGGCCGUCCUCGGCGACAGCGGCUUCGCCGUCGUCAGAGACAAGGUGAUCUACCGGUCCCCUCGCCAGCAGAAGAGAUUCAACACACCCUACCGACUGGGGAAGGCCAGCUUUUCUGGAGAUUCGCCCCUCGAUGCACUGGUCUGAAUAUUCAAAUUUUAGAGCACAAGUAUUCGGAAACAUGCUGAGAAUACCUUUACUGCAACAAUAUCUCGCUCCGAUGGGAGGAGGGAUAAGGAUUUUGUUGAUUUUGGGUGGGUGGUCGGCUGUGAAUUGCAGAGGAUCACGGUAGCCGUGAAGCGGGGGGACCUGGUGGUUCUCG
rnacentral:lncRNA from 1 species